rnacentral:rRNA from 1 species
GAUGAACGCUGGCGGCGUGCCUAAUACAUGCAAGUCGAGGGAACGGACGAGAAUCUUGCUUCUCUGGCUUUAGCGGCGGACGGGGGAGUAACACGUGGAUAACCUAUCUAUAAGACUGGGAUAACUUCGGGAAACCGGAGCUAAUACCGGAUGAUAUUUUAAACCGUAUGGUUCAAAUGUUAAAGACGGUCUUGCUGUCACUGAUAGAUGGAUCCGCGUUUCAUUAGCUAGUUGGUAAGGUAACGGCUUACCAAGGCAACGAUGCAUAGCCGACCUGAGAGGGUGAUACGACCAACCGGAACUGAGAUACGGCCCAGACUCCUACGCGAGGCAGCGGUAGAGAAUCUUACGCAAUGCGAUGAAGCCUGAUGGGGCACAGCCGCGUGAGUUAUGAAGUUCUUCGGAUCGUAAAACUCUGUUAUUAGGGUAGAACAUAAGUGUAGGUAACUCUGCACAUCUUGACGGUACCUUAUCAGAAAGCCCCGGCUAACUCCGUG